rnacentral:lncRNA from 1 species
UGGGAGCCUCGGAACAGCCGAGGCAAUGGCCUCUAUUGAUUUCUUCCUUGGCAUUUUUGCUCAUAGCCACUACUGCCACGGCUGCUUAUGAGCCUUACAUUUAUCCCUCACCACCUCCACCGCCUUACUACUACAAGUCACCACCACCACCAGAAUAUUCUCCACCACCACCUUACUACUACAAAUCUCCACCACCACCUGAGAAGUCUCCCCCACCACCUUACUACUACAAGUCACCACCACCACCAGAAUAUUCUCCACCACCACCUUACUACUACAAAUCUCCACCACCACCUGAGAAGUCUCCCCCGCCACCUUACUACUAUCACUCACCACCUCCUCCUAAGAAGUCACCCCCACCACCUUACUACUAUAAGUCUCCGCCUCCGCCGAAGGAAUAUCCCCCACCACCUUACUACUAUCACUCACCACCUCCUCCUAAGAAGUCACCCCCACCACCUUACUACUAUAAGUCUCCGCCUCCGCCGAAGGAAUAUCCCCCGCCGCCUUACUACUACAAGUCUCCGCCCCCACCGGAGAAGUAUACCCCGCCGCCUUACUACUACAAGUCACCACCCCCACCUGUGAAGUAUCCCCCGCCACCUUACUACUACAAGUCACCGCCCCCACCGGAGAAGUAUACCCCGCCGCCUUACUACUACAAGUCACCGCCCCCACCGGAGAAGUAUACCCCGCCGCCUUACUACUACAAGUCACCACCCCAACCUGUGAAGUAUCCCCCGCCACCUUACUACUACAAGUCACCACCCCCACCGGUGAAGUAUCCCCCGCCACCUUACUACUACAAGUCACCACCCCCACCGGAGAAGUAUACCCCGCCGCCUUACUACUACAAGUCACCACCCCCACCGGAGAAGUAUCCCCCUCCACCUUACUACUACAAGUCACCACCGCCACCGAAGAAGUAUCCCCCUCCACCUUACUACUACAAGUCACCACCGCCACCAGAGAAGUAUCCUCCACCACCUUAUUAGUAGAAGUCUCCUCCACCUCCCUCUCCAUCUCCACCCCCUCCCUACUACUAUAAGUCGCCACCUCCUCCUUCUCCAUCUCGACCCCCACCAUACCAAUAUUUGUCACCUCCACCUCCUAAAGGCUACUAAAUAUACAAUGUGUUGUUGAAACAUGUGUGAUCUUAAUUAUGUAAGAAUAAGUGUAAGUUUGUAAGCUUGUUCUAUUUCUGAUUUUUUUCUUCAUCAAUGUUUUUGUGAAUAAAAGGAUUUGAGAUGGUAAAUCCAUUUGUAAGAAGUGCUGCUCAUUUUCGUUGUAAAAGUUACUGUAAGCAAUAAGAUCUCGUAAUUUAAGGUUUCAUAAAAGUUAUAUGUGCAACUAAUUUCAAUUUCAAUUGUCAUAUUUUUCACAACCACCAAGCGUAUUACUUCUUUAUAGAUGGAAAAUGCCAAGGCAAGCUUAUUAUUCUUUACUAUUACCAUUCUUGAUGUGUUUGUUUAUUUAGUUGAAACUGUAAAUAAAAUGUACAUAAAGUACCGCACUGCAUCCAAAUUAAAUUUAGGAUAUAGACUAAGUUAAUGUAAUCUCAAUUUUAUCACAUUAUUAUUGGAUUUUAUAUAAAUAGCUAAUUUCUUUUCCUUCCGAAUUUCGACGGGAAGGAGAAUUUAUUAAGUAAUACAGAGAAGUGCACCUAGAAAUAUUUAAAGAGGAUACAAUGAGCACUACCUUUCAUGAUGAUAAUGCCCAUGAACAAGUAAGAGAGGUUUAGAGUUUUAUUCCUACUCAAAUCAGAUUCUACGGAGGAGUUAUAUUCGUACCUUUUUAACGCUUUACAUAUAUGAUUAGAGAAUUAUGAGGACAUAAAUUCCGCUAUAAAUUUGUUGUUAUAUUUAGAGGAGUUUACAUGACUGAAGAAUUAUACACACAUAAAUUCUUUGAUGUCCAUUUUAAAUUAUAUUCCAAAAGGGAAAAUGUUUUCCGUUUAUGGUUUAAAAAUAGAAGCUUUGUGCUUUUUUUCUUUUUUUCUUUUUUAAAUCUAGAUCAUUCGGUGAAUAUUGGUUGUUAAUUUACUGACAAAAUACUCGUAAGUUUAUUUAUUUAUUCUGUAAUGCAGCUUUUGGGAUACAGAAUAAUCAUAUAAAUAAAUAAACUAUAUUUCAAUUAACUCGUUGACUUGUAUGAAAAGAGCGUGUCAUUACCUUUUAUGCCUAAUUAAAUUUACAAUUUUAGUCCCUAUGAUUUUUUUUUUCAAUCAUUAAUUCCAACAUCAACUCAAUCUCCUCCCCGCUCUUAUGAGUAGAAACAUAUGUAGAAUUUUGAUAUUUAAGAGUUGGUGGAGUUUCUAUGAUAUUUUGUAACUGCGGCUCAUCAUUUCACCACGGUGGGCAACUUCAUGGAUUUUGUCCUCUAAAAGGUAGCACUCUAACUUAAGAUGCCAUGUUCUUCAGAAAGUUAUCAAAUACUUGAAUAGUUAUAUUAAGUUUAUUAUUGAUAAGAAUCUUAAUUAACUAGAUAUAGUACUUAAUAUACAAUGUUUUAUUCGUGAAAUUGUUGAACUAUUUUCACCAUUUUUCAUCGUCAUUUUCAGGAUGAGCUAUCAUUUGGAAUUUCAUUUUCUAUGGACUCUCACUUUUUCCCAUAACCACUUUUUUUUGUUUAUAUUUUAUCAGAUUAAUUAUUCCUUGUUUGUUUAGAAGGAGCUUUCAUAUUGGAGAAAUACAUUACGUAUCUUACAAAUCUAUGCAUCUUUACCUUUUUUUCACAAAAUAUUUAAAAAAAAAAACCUCACCAAUCGAAUGUUCAAAAUGAAAAGUUCGAAGAAAAAAUGGUGUGAACUAAAACAAAAUAUAUAAUUUUGUCACAAUCCAUUAAAAGAAAAUCAUUAUAAUAUACAAUUAAGAGGUACCUACCUUGUCUUAAUCAAUUUGUCACAAAAUUUUAUCAGUGAGAGAUAUGCAAGACUCACCCGUUGGUACAAAAGAAAAUGAUCAAAGUGGAAGCAAAAAUGGAAUCCUCAAAUGUGGUGAUAAUUUAGAUGAUCUCCACUCCCCAUUUAGUUUCAUUUAUUAAGUUAAUGUUUAAUCAAGAGUCUAAUUACUCAUUUUAUUAUGAUAUUAAUCAACUGCCGCCCCUUCCACUGGUUCAUUAUUUUUUAUGGAAUACAAAAAACAGACAAUAAAAUUCUCCAAAACUGUUGUAAGAGUUAUAUUGCGAAAGUUAAAUAAAAGUGAGGAUAAGGAUAAUUUGAGGUAGAUAUAAAGAUUAAAUAAAUUCUUAACUUAAAAUAAAGAGAUUUAUUCUUUUAAAAGAGAUUAAAAUGUCAAGAUAAAUAAAUGGAGGAGGUGAUAUUCACGGGCUCUCCCCCGGCUUUUUGUGAUAACAUCUUAAAUGAAUAUAAAUAGUCAAAAUUUUAUUAAAAAUAAAAAUUUGGUCCUAAUAUUCUUUGACAUAGCUAGGAAUAUAGCCCACUUGCAAGAGACUUACAUUCCAUCGCUCCCUAAUUCCCCGUGUAACAUCUUAUCUUGCAUCAUCACAUCAGAGACGUGUUCGUUUGCACAGCCAUUUCGUGAAUAUAAAAUUGCUGCCGAAUAGGCAUCUAAUUAAAAGAAUUUGUCAACGGUAUAAAUUAAAAUAUAAAAAAACGAGUAAAAGAAUUUGUCAAUGGGAUAUGGGAGGCCAUGGCUUCAAUCGGUUUGUGCAAUGGUCAAUGGCAUAUUUUUGCUCAUCGUCACCACUGCAACCACUAAUCAUUUGUGCAUGUGAGUUGUUUUUGAGCAUUUAUUUUGCCCUUUAGAAGCAUAAGGAUAAGGCUAGUCUUCUGUUUGGGAGGACUUAUUGCUUCCAUUCGUUAAAAUUGGGCAUGUAAAAUGUCAAGAAAAAUGGCCUAAGUGGCUAGCUAGAUGAUAUAAUGGAUGGUUACUACUCAAACCUAGCAAUAAAUGAAUGUCCGACAAGCAUUCAAAUGAAUGUAUAAAACCAAUCAGAUUAGAAUAUCUAUUUAUGAUAGAUUAAUGAAAAUACAAUUCAAAUAUAAGGUAAAUAAUCUCUCUAUUAAUUUUUUAUUGUUUCAGGUAGGGUUGCCAAGCCUAUGUCCGGGCUUCUAUAAGCCCAUUUCCAACCCUCCCAUAUGAUUGGAUUAGAUCGGACUUAGCCUGUCAGGUCGGGCUAAGCCCUGCGCCCUUUUUAAAUAAAAAACAGGUUGAUUUUUAAGUUUAUAAAGUUAAUACACUCACGCUUAUACUUUAAUAUUUUUAUUAUUUGGCUUUUAGAAUAUUAACGUAUAAAUUACUUUUUUUUUCAAGUGAAAUAAUUAUCACAUUUUGUCUUCUUAGUAUAUAUUUCUACCUUUUUGUUCCUAUAGAUAUUUCCUCAUUUCAUCUUUGGUACUAGAGCGUAGUAAAAAAACACAUGAUUAAAGAUAAAUAUGACAUUUUAACUAACAAAUUAAUUAUUUGUAUCUAAGAUCUAGCUCUAGUGGUAAAGAUCAAUUUUCAUAGAAUUCAAGUCUUGGGUUUGAAUUUAAAUGUGUGGGUAAGUUGUUGUUAAUAAUAAUAAUAAUAAUAAUAAUAAUAAUAAUAAUAAUAAUAAUAAUAAUAAUAAUAAUAAUAAUAAUAAUAAUAAUAAUAAUAAUAAUAAUAAUAAAUUAACUAGCUUUAAUUUGCAAAGGUCUUAGAUAAUCAAUUCGCUUGUAAAAAUAUCAAUUUUUUUUUUAAUCAAUGAAAUUUUCAAGUCUCUGGUUUUAGCACAAGGAAUGAAUUAAAAGAGUAAUGAUAAAUAUUUUACAAUUUUAUCCCAAAUGAUAAGACAUGUAAUAUGUCAUUUAUUAAGUGAUUGAUGAUUUUUUAUAAAUUUUAAGUGGAUUAAAUAUAUUAUUUCACCAACUAGUAAAUGAAUAUGACAUCAUUUGAGACGGAAUUUUAUGGUAAAAUUUUGAAAUAUUUAUCACUACUCAAUUAUAUACAGUAUAAAAAAUCUAAUAGGGACCAAAAAUAUAAAAACUGAUUAAGAAUAAAAAAUAUAAAAGUCAAUUCCUAAUUAGGAGAAUGAAAGUGUCAUUCCCCUUUAAUCAUUUCACUAGAUAUUAUGUAAAUUUAUUAAGGCAAAAUUUUAAUAGAAAAUUGGUACCCAAACCUAACGUCUUUGACAUUGCUGCCAAGAUCACUCACAACUUACAAGAAUAAAAAAUUGGUAUUAAAUUUAUUAAUGUUCUCAAGGAAUUUUUAGCUUGACUUUACAUUUCUCAGACCCAUUUGUCACAUAACACCUUAGUUCGUUAACAAAGCCCUUUCAUGAGAAUAUUAGAACUGCUGUCGAAUAAGCAUCUUAACAACCCCUUUUUGACAUACAUGCAUGCCUCCUUCUGUGAACAAUUUGAAACAUAAAAUAAAAUUUCAAUCGAUGUGAGAGUUGGAGUAUUUUAUAGCUUUUGACCUCAUUAAUUAUGAGUAAGAGAAUAUUUCUACGUCACUAAUGAUUAAAAUGAUCACUAUAUAAAGGGUAGACAAGUAUGUUUAACAUCAAGUCAGAAAACACAAUUUUAAGGAAAUGGGAACUCGGGGACAGGCGAGGCAAUGGCCUCAAUUGUUUUGUGCUAUAGCAUUUUUGCUUAUAGCCACCACCACCAAGGCAUCGGCUGAUGAUUAUGCCUCAGCACCACCACCAAAGUAUUCUUCUCCACCUCCUUACUACUACAAAUCACCACCUCCUCCUUCUCCCUCUCCACCUCCACCAUAUUAUUACAAGUCUCCCCCACCACCAUCUCCGUCUCCUCCACCACCUUACUACUACAAGUCACCACCACCACCGGUGCAUUCUCCCCCGCCACCUUACUACUACAAGUCACCGCCGCCACCAGUGCAUUCUCCUCCGCCACCUUACUACUACAAAUCUCCGCCGCCACCAAAGCAUUCUCCCCCGCCACCUUACUACUACAAGUCACCACCACCACCAGUGCAUUCUCCUCCACCACCUUACUACUACAAAUCUCCACCACCACCAAAACAUUCACCUCCACCACCAUACUACUAUAAGUCACCACCUCCACCUGUAAAAUCUCCACCUCCACCACCUUACUACAAAUCACCACCACCACCAAAGCAUUCUCCCCCACCACCUUACUACUACAAAUCUCCACCACCACCAAAACAUUCCCCACCACCACCUUACUACUAUAAGUCACCGCCUCCACCAAUAAAGUCCCCACCACCGCCACCUUACUAUAAAUCACCACCGCCCCCAAAGCAUUCUCCCCCACCACCUUAUUAUUACAAAUCACCACCUCCACCAGUGAAGUCUCCACCUCCGCCACCUUACUAUAAAUCACCACCACCUCCAAAGCAUUCUCCCCCUCCACCUUACUAUUAUAAAUCACCACCUCCACCAAUGAAGUCUCCACCUCCGCCAUAUUACUAUAAAUCACCACCACCACCAAAGCAUUCUCCCCCGCCACCUUACUAUUAUAGAUCUCCACCACCACCAAAGCAUUCUCCCCCACCACCUUACUACUAUAAGUCACCACCUCCACCGAAGAAAUCCCCACCUCCACCAUAUUACUAUAAGUCGCCACCACCACCAAAGCAUUCUCCCCCACCUACUUACUAUUACAAAUCUCCACCACCACCAAAGUAUUCUCCACCACCACCUUACUAAUACAAAUCUCCACCAAUGCUAUCUCUAUCCCCACCUCCACCAUCUAUAUCACCUCCACCACCACCUCCAUCACUGUCACUAUUGCCUCGCUACUGCUCCAAGUCAUCACCACCUCCUGAAGACUACUAAGUUCAAUGUUCCGUCUUCAAACAAAUUUCAAAUUCAAUAAGAAUAAAUUUGUUCCUUCAGUUGCCUUUUUCAUGAAUUUUUAUGUUAAUGUUUUUACGAAUAAUUUUUAAGAAGCGUUCGGUGUAUCAUUUGUCAUGUGCAAUAAAAAUUUUCUAACUUAAUGUACCCAAAAAAAAAUGUUCCACAAGAAAUAUUCUAUUGUUUUAUCACAAAUGUGUUGUGGCACAUGUAAUGCGCCU